rnacentral:rRNA from 1 species
GCGCUAUCAGAUGAGCCUAGGUCGGAUUAGCUAGUUGGUGAGGUAAUGGCUCACCAAGGCGACGAUCCGUAACUGGUCUGAGAGGAUGAUCAGUCACACUGGAACUGAGACACGGUCCAG